CUGGACCCAGGAUGGCCUGGUGAUGAACUCCUGCGGUUGAAGUGUUUGUGUCAGCGUGUGCGCGUGAGAUUGUAUGUAUUGUGGUAAGAGGCAUGGCGUGUGUGUGUUAUAGUUUGUGUGCGUGUGCGUGUGUGUGUGUGUGUAGUAGGUAGGUAUGUGUGAGAUUAUGGUAAGAGGCACGAUGGUAUGUGUAUGUGUGUUUCUGAAAUGUUGUUGUUAAUUAUUAAUUACUGCUAUUGUUUUGGUAUUUAGUGUCAUACCUAUUUACCCGCCCAUUUAUUAUUGUAUUUCUUUAUUUCCUUUAUUUAUGAAUGUAUUCCAAUACUGUCCCUGUGGGUACGUCGGUAAGGCGGAUGUCUAUCUGUCAUCUACGAGAUGAAACCCAACAGAUCCAAUAAUAGCUCCACCCCCCCCCCCCCCCCCCGACCCAUGGAGAUGUAUUAAUAAUACAUUGGAUUUCGACAGCGCUUUUAUAUUAAUAUCAACUCCUGGUUACUGACGAAUAGCUAAACUUGAAAAAAACUUGAGGUAGCGCGUGGGUUACAGUACCGCCACCGGUGUGCGCACCUGAGAUGACAGUACAGGGAGGGUUGUAAGAGUUCUGCAGUAUUCCCCUCUGUCAGUAUUGGUUUGACCCAUUUCCCCCUCAAAAAUGGCUUGAAGUAAAUGAUCUCCACUUAGCCUAGCCUGUAGCUUAGCUGCCCAGAGGAAAUUGAUUGGUGUGUGUGUGUGUGUUUUUGCACACACACACACACACACACACACACACACACACACACACACACACACACACACACACACACACACACACGCGCAUACACAUGCACACACAAUCACAGACAUGUACUCACAAACCAAGACAGACACAUACACACAAACACA